AUGAACAACAACCUCUAUGUUGUAGUCCUACCAUGUCGUGUGUUUCUGCUACAGUUCUUCGCUGUCGAGGAAAUCUUUGUGCGGCUCUUAUUAUUCUUGCUUUUCGUCCGGUAUCUUAUUCAAAAUGAAGUGGCCCUGUGAUGUUUCAGUAAGUUGGGGUAGCAAUCAAUCAUGUAUGUAUGCCUUGUUUCUCAUCAUCUGUCUGCUGGGUCCAGCCCUUGUUUGUCUUUGUCCUUUACAAGUUCGCAGCUCGCAUCCAACUUGUUAAAGCCACUCGAGCGUGUCAAUACUUCAUUAGAACAUAAAACAUGGUUAUUAUUGCUGUGGGGCAGUCAAGCAACCCGGGCCCCACACUCUUUCUGUGUUUCCCUUUUUAUUUUUGAUGGUUUUUUCUUUCUUUCUGUGCUUCUCGUUUGAGCAUUGACCUCACGGUCUUCUCCUGUAUACUACUUACUCCGUCUCAUAAUAUAAGAACGUUUUUGACACCCCUUCGUCUCAUAAUAUAAGAACGUUUUUACCAUCACACUAGUGUCAAAAAUAUUCUUAUAUUAUGGGACGGAGGGAGUACCAUUCUCAUAUCCACUAUUCUUUCCUUUCACACUUCACACUGCACCAGCCCCCUGGCAUAUUCUUGUCUCCUGAAAGUAUGUUGGGUUGUUCAGUUGUCCAUCACUCCUCAUGCUAUGGUUGAUCGGUACAAAAUGCUUAACUUACUGAAUGUAUUUCAUAAGUACUCCCUAGGUCUCAAAAUAAGUAUCUCAACUUUGUACUAACCUGUUACAUGUUUUUUUAAUACUGAAAAUUGUUACAAGUGGGUCUGGUAAUUGUAUUGGCACUGUAUCCUCUAUCAUGGAGUAAUUAUAGCCUGUUCGUUUAUCUAGGUUUCUUUUACUCCACCCACCGCAUCGAGACAAAACCACCAGAAAAUGGCCAGGAGGCGAUAGACGGGGAGAACUUCGGGUCUCGUCGACGUCGACGUCGACGGAAUCCCGAGCGAGCACGGGGACGUGGAAUCGCUGGUUGGUGCUGGGGCAUUGGGGCUUGCGCGACCUAGCGUACGCUAUCGGCGCCGCAGGGGUGGUACCCCACCCUGUGCAAUCGAGGUGCUCGACGAAAUGUCGAACCGAACCUUGACGCUCCAGGCUCAGCAGUGCACGCUCCACAGGUGAUCGACACAAUGCCUGAGUGGAGCAGCUGUCUCUGGAGUCGACUGCUCGGGCGUGCCCGGUAUGCUGCUGCGCUAGUACUAACCAUCUUUGAGCACUGCGAUCUCUUCCCGUGUCCAGGUACGCAUUGUAUUCCAAAUGAAGUACUCCCAUGAUGUGAUGCUUCUGCAAAUAUGGGUACCAAUCAUGUAUCUUCGGAUUCCUCAAAAAAAUCAUGUAUCUUUGGGUCCUCUUCUCAUCAUCGACCAGGUCCAGCUUUUGUUUGUACAAGGUUGCAGCUCGCACCCAACUCCUUAAAGCCACUUGAGCAUGUAGAUAAACGUGACCUGAUCAGCGGGCCCCAUGAUCUUUCUGUAUUUCCUUUUCUUCUUAAAUAAAAGUUUUCAUGCUGUGCUU